UACCUGCAGCUCGAGUGGUAACCGCUAUUAUUGGGCCUAAAGCGUCCGUAGCCGGUUUGGUAAAUAUCUGGGUAAAUCGUGAGGCUUAACUUCACGAAUUUCGGAUAGACUGCCAGACUUGGGAUCGGGGGAGGUCAGAGGUACUCCAGGGGUAGCGGUGAAAUGUUGUAAUCCUUGGAGGACCACCGGUAGCGAAGGCGUCUGACUAGAACGAGUCCGACGGUGAGGGACGAAGCCCUGGGGCGCAAACCGGAUUAGAUACCCGGGUAGUCCAGGGUGUAAACAAUGUGGGCUUUGUAUUGGAGAUCCCACGUGGGUGUCCAGUGCAGAAGAGAAGUUGUUAAGCCCACCGCCUGGGAAGUACGGUUGCAAGGCUGAAACUUAAAGGAAUUGGCGGGGAGCACCACAAGGCGUGAAGCUUGCGGUUC
rnacentral:rRNA from 1 species